rnacentral:rRNA from 1 species
AACGAACGCUGGCGGCAUGCCUAACACAUGCAUGUCGAACGAGACCUUCGGGUCUAGUGGCGCACGGGUGCGUAACGCGUGGGAACCUGCCCUUAGGUUCGGAAUAACUCCCCGAAAGGGGUGCUAAUACCGGAUAAUGUCUUCGGACCAAAGAUUUAUCGCCUUUGGAUGGGCCCGCGUUGGAUUAGCUAGUUGGUAGGGUAAAAGCCUACCAAGGCGACGAUCCAUAGCUGGUCUGAGAGGAUGAUCAGCCACACUGGGACUGAGACACGGCCCAGACUCCUACGGGAGGCAGCAGUGGGGAAUAUUGGACAAUGGGCGAAAGCCUGAUCCAGCAAUGCCGCGUGAGUGAUGAGGGCCUUAGGGUUGUAAAGCUCUUUUACCCGGGAUGAUAAUGACAGUACCGGGAGAAUAAGCUCCGGCUAACUCCGUG